UACGGAGGAUCCGAGCGUUAUCCGGAUUUAUUGGGUUUAAAGGGUGCGCAGGCGGGGGAUUAAGUCGGCGGUGAAAUUUUGCAGCUCAACUGUAAAAGUGCCUUCGAAACUGGUUUCCUUGAGUGUAGAUGAAGUAGGCGGAAUUUGUGGUGUAGCGGUGAAAUGCAUAGAUAUCACGAGGAACUCCGAUUGCGCAGGCAGCUUACUAAACUACUACUGACGCUCAGGCACGAAGACGUGGGGAUCAAACAGGAUUAGAUACCCCCGUAGUCCCU
rnacentral:rRNA from 1 species